AUUGAACGCUGGCGGUAUGCUUAACAUAUGCAAGUCGAACGGCAGCACGGUAUGUAGCAAUACAUAUGGGUGGCAAGUGGCGGACGGGUGAGUAACGAGUAGGAAUCUGCCCUCAAGCGGGGGACAACCCGAGGAAACUCGGGCUAAUACCGCAUAAACUCGGAAGAGAAAAGCUGGGGUAACCUGGCACUUGAGGAGGAGCCUGCGUCUGAUUAGCUAGUUGGUAGGGUAAAGGCCUACCAAGGCGAUGAUCAGUAGCUGGUCUGAGAGGAUGACCAGCCACACUGGAACUGAGACACGGUCCAGGCUCCUACGGGAGGCAGCAGUGGGGAAUAUUGGACAAUGGGGGAAACCCUGAUCCAGCAAUACCGCGUGUGUGAAGAAGGCCUUCGGGUUGUAAAGCACUUUAGUUGGGGAGGAAGGUUAGCAGUUUAAGAGAUGGCUAAUUUGGCUGUACCCAAAGAAUAAGCACCGGCUAACUCUGUGCCAGCCGCCGCCGUAA
rnacentral:rRNA from 1 species